GCGAUUCCAUUGUGAACAAAAAUACAAAUAAAAAACUACAUUUUAGACAAGUGACCACAAUCAAUCAACUUGAUUUACAUGAGUGCCGUGCAUUAGAGUUUAAAAAGAGUUCAACUGUAUGAGCAACAAAAAUUUCUUUCAUCUGAAAGAGCUUGUGAAAUGGUAAUGGAAUAUGUAUAUUGCAAAUCUUUCGUAUCUUUCUUAGUUUUUGAGAUACUUCAAUGUGUUUGAUAUGUAUAUUAUGACGUCACAAGCUGGGUAUAAAAUUUAAAAACAUUAAAAUAUCCGCUACAUUCUGCAAAUUGUUUCUAAUACUUACUUGACUUGUGUAUAUAUGACAACUCUUCAUGUCACUAACAUGGCUGUUAUGUAAUCAACCGGAUUUAUCUGAUAUUUUAAAUAUUUUAAAAUUGUGUACUCAGCUUUUGACGUCAAAAUUUGCAUAACAAACACAUUGAAAUAUGAAUUUUUUCUGUGUUGGUGUAGUAUACUCAGGUGAAUAUGAUAUUUGUGGUGUUACUCUGAGUGCAUAUCCACACCGGGCGAGCUUGAAAAAUAUGCCCGGCCACGGUGGGAUUCGAACCUACGACCUAGCCCAAUGCUCUUCCAACUGAGCUACGCGGUCAGGACGGUUCGAGUAAAAUAUAUCACAAAACGAAGAAACAUACGAAAGAUUUGUAUGUAUGGUAAUGUACCAUUUGACAAGUUCUUUCAAAUGAAAAGAAAAUUUUAUUAUAAGAAAUUCUUUGUUGCUCAAAACUAAUUUUUUCCCCAUUACUUCAAAUAUUGUAGUAAUCCAAUAGUCGUUCCCACAACAGCAGACAUUAAGGAGCAUAAAGGCCCGUCUACACGAUGCGAUUUUUUAUUACGAUUGUUGUAUGCAACUUGCUGAUGUCAUCCCUGCGACUUUGUGUCGUCUAUCUAGACGGUACAAUUAUUGUAUGCGACUUUUUCAACCGAGAGAUAUAUUAGACCCUCUUUUUUCUUCUUUUUUUUUAAUUUGUCGUGGUCACACUUUGAACGGGAGGCAUUACCAAUUUCGCUUUCUCUCAUCUCACUGUUGAUGUCCGCCAUUUUGAACGAUUUUUUUCAUAAAAAAUGUAUGAAAGUCGCAGUAUUUUAAUUUUUUUACGACUUUUUUGUGUUGCAUACGACUGUCGUAAGCAAGUUGUAGGGCUACACAGCACGAUUCGUGUCGCAGGGAUGGUGUCAGCAAGUUACCUACAACAAUCGUAAACAAAAAUCGCAUCGUGUCAUGGGCCUUAAGAUGCACCAAAUCUGCGACUCGGGCGCGACUAAAAAACAGUCGCUAAUAAUAGCAGACUAGACUAAACCUUCCAAAAUGUUUGCUUAGGAGCACUUACUAACUGUGCCAGAUUUCAUUUCAUUUCUUCAAUCCCUUCCGAGAUAUUUGACUUUCUUCUUUUUUAACACCGUUAGUGACGUCAUAAUACAAAAUGCCCGAUAACUUGGGAACGCUUUUCGCAUAAAGGCAAUGGGAAAGUUGCCAAAAAACAGCGAAUUGACUCGGUUAUGCGUCAGACGAACAUGAUUUCAAGUUAUGUGCCACUAAUUACUGGAGCUAUCAGACUUUAGAUGAAUGAACUUCAGAAUUUAAUGAUAUCAAAAAUGUUAAUUUACCAGCACAAAACGCGUGUUCACUAAGGCAUGUUUCGCGUGGUAAACUUCUCAUUUCAUAUUCAAUUCACAAGAUAUGACACACGCUGAAAGUGGUGAUACUGAUUGUUACUGGUGACCCUGAAGGUUUACGAAACGGAAAAUUAUCGCGGUGACCCUUAAGUAACGAGAAAAUA
rnacentral:lncRNA from 1 species